AACCAGAAAGCGAAGUAUUGCACUUAGUUUCGACCUAAGCCUUGGUGGCCUCACCUCUGAUUA
rnacentral:tRNA from 1 species